rnacentral:rRNA from 1 species
CAUCUAAGUACCCCGAGGAAAAGAAAUCAACCGAGAUUCCGAAAGUAGCGGCGAGCGAAAUUGGACUAGCCCUUAAGCUUUACACGCGUUAGACGAACAGCCUGGAAAGGCCGACGAUACAGGGUGAUAGUCCCGUAGUUGACGACGUGUGUUCAGUGAAAUCGAGUAGGGCGGGACACGUGAUAUCCUGUCUGAAUAUGGGGGGACCAUCCUCCAAGGCUAAAUACUACUGACUGACCGAUAGUGAACCAGUACCGUGAGGGAAAGGCGAAAAGAACCCCUGUGAGGGGAGUGAAAUAGAACCUGAAACCGUGUACGUACAAGCAGUAGGAGCAGGCUUUGUCCUGUGACUGCGUACCUUUUGUAUAAUGGGUCAGCGACUUAUAUUCAGUGGCAAGGUUAACCAUCUAGGGGAGCCGUAGGGAAACCGAGUCUUAACUGGGCGUUCAGUCUCUGGAUAUAGACCCGAAACCAGGUGAUCUAGCCAUGGGCAGGUUGAAGGUUGAGUAACAUCAACUGGAGGACCGAACCGACUAAUGUUGAAAAAUUAGCGGAUGACUUGUGGCUAGGGGUGAAAGGCCAAUCAAACCUGGAGAUAGCUGGUUCUCCCCGAAAGCUAUUUAGGUAGCGCCUCGGACGAAUACUACUGGGGGUAGAGCACUGUUAAGGCUAGGGGGUCAUCCCGACUUACCAACCCUUUGCAAACUCCGAAUACCAGUAAGUACUAUCCGGGAGACACACGGCGGGUGCUAACGUCCGUCGUGGAGAGGGAAACAACCCAGACCGCCAGCUAAGGUCCCAAAUUACUACUAAGUGGGAAACGAUGUGGGAAGGCUCAGACAGCCAGGAUGUUGGCUUAGAAGCAGCCAUCAUUUAAAGAAAGCGUAAUAGCUCACUGGUCGAGUCGGCCUGCGCGGAAGAUGUAACGGGGCUAAGUAG